rnacentral:rRNA from 1 species
AACGAACGCUGGCGGCAGGCUUAACACAUGCAAGUCGAACGCAUCCUUCGGGGUGAGUGGCAGACGGGUGAGUAACGCGUGGGAACGUGCCCUUCAGUUCGGGAUAACCCAGGGAAACUUGGGCUAAUACCGGAUACGUGCGAGAGCAGAGAGAUUUAUCGCUGAAGGAUCGGCCCGCGUCUGAUUAGCUAGUUGGUGGGGUAAUGGCCCACCAAGGCGACGGUCAGUAGCUGGUCUGAGAGGAUGAUCAGCCACAUUGGGACUGAGACACGGCCCAAACUCCUGCGGGAGGCAGCAGUGGGGAAUAUUGGACAAUGGGCGCAAGCCUGAUCCAGCCAUGCCGCGUGAGUGAUGAAGGCCUUAGGGUUGUAAAGCUCUUUCGUCCGGGACGAUAAUGACGGUACCGGAAGAAGAAGCCCCGGCUAACUUCGUGCCAGCAGCCGCCGUAA